rnacentral:rRNA from 1 species
UGCCAGCCGCCGCGGUAAUACGUAGGGUGCAAGCGUUAUCCGGAAUUACUGGGCGUAAAGCGUCUGUAGGCGGCGAAAUAAGUAUGAAUUUAAAUCUCAGGGCCCAACCUUGAAGCUGAUGCGUAAACUGUUUUGCUAGAGGUAUGUAGGGGUGUAUGGAAUUCCUUGUGUAGGGGUAAAAUCCGUUGAUAUAAGGAGGAACGCUAAAAGCGAAGGCAGUACACUGGGCAUACCUGACGCUGAGAGACGAAAGCGUGGGGAGCGAAAAGGAUUAGAUA